GACGAACGCUGGCGGCGUGCUUAACACAUGCAAGUCGAGCGGUAAGGCCUUUCGGGGUACACGAGCGGCGAACGGGUGAGUAACACGUGGGUGAUCUGCCCUGCACUUCGAGAUAAGCCUGGGAAGCUGGGUCUAAUACCGGAUAUGACCUCCUAUCGCAUGGUGGGUGGUGGAAAGAUUUAUCGGUGCAGGAUGGGCCCGCGGCCUAUCAGCUUGUUGGUGGGGUAAUGGCCUACCAAGGCGACGACGGGUAGCCGACCUGAGAGGGUGACCGGCCACACUGGGACUGAGACACGGCCCAGACUCCUACGGGAGGCAGCAGUGGGGAAUAUUGCACAAUGGGCGAAAGCCUGAUGCAGCGACGCCGCGUGAGGGAUGACGGCCUUCGGGUUGUAAACCUCUUUCAGCAGGGACGAAGCGCAAGUGACGGUACCUGCAGAAGAAGCACCGGCUAACUACGUG
rnacentral:rRNA from 1 species